rnacentral:rRNA from 1 species
GCAAGUCGAGGGCAGCGCGGAGUAGCAAUACUUGGCGGCGACCGGCGCACGGGUGAGUAACACGUAUGCCAACCGAACCCAGUAACAGGGGGAUAACCCGGAGAAAUCCGGACUAAUACCGCAUAAGACCACGAUAUCGCAUGAUAGUAGAGGUCAAAUAUUUAGUAGGCUAUGGACGGGCAUGCGUCUGAUUAGCUGGUGGCGGGUAACGCCACCAAGGCAUCGAUCAGUAGGGUUCUGAGAGGAAGGUCCCCACAUCGGAACUGAGACACGGUCCAAACUCCUACGGGAGGCAGCAGUGAGGAAUAUUGGUCAAUGGGCGAAAGCCUGAACCAGCCAUGUCGCGUGAAAGGAUGAAGGUCCUAUGGACUGUAAACUUCUUUUGCAGGAGGGUAAAGUGAGCUACGUGUAGUUCAUUGCAAGUACCCUGCGAAUAAGCAUCGGCUAACUUCGUGCCAGCCGCCGC